rnacentral:rRNA from 1 species
UACGUAGGGACCAAGCGUUGUUCGGAUUUACUGGGCGUAAAGGGCGCGUAGGCGGCGUGACAAGUCACUUGUGAAAUCUCUGGGCUUAACCCAGAACGGCCAAGUGAAACUGUUGUGCUAGAGUGCAGAAGGGGCAAUCGGAAUUCUCGGUGUAGCGGUGAAAUGCGUAGAGAUGUGGAGGAAUACCGAUGGCGAAGGCAGCCCCCUGGGAUAACACUGACGCUCAUGCACGAAAGGCGUGGGGAGCAAACAAGG